CAGUGAAAUUGAACUCGCUGUGAAGAUGCAGUGUACCCGCGGCAAGACGGAAAGACCCCGUGAACCUUUACUAUAGCUUGACACUGAACAUUGAGCCUUGAUGUGUAGGAUAGGUGGGAGGCUUUGAAGUGUGGACGCCAGUCUGCAUGGAGCCGACCUUGAAAUACCACCCUUUAAUGUUUGAUGUUCUAACGUGGACCCGUAAUCCGGGUUGCGGACAGUGUCUGGUGGGUAGUUUGACUGGGGCGGUCUCCUCCUAAAGAGUAACGGAGGAGCACGAAGGUUGGCUAAUCCUGGUCGGACAUCAGGAGGUUAGUGCAAUGGCAUAAGCCAGCUUGACUGCGAGCGUGACGGCGCGAGCAGGUGCGAAAGCAGGUCAUAGUGAUCCGGUGGUUCUGAAUGGAAGGGCCAUCGCUCAACGGAUAAAAGGUACUCCGGGGAUAACAGGCUGAUACCGCCCAAGAGUUCAUAUCGACGGCGGUGUUUGGCACCUCGAUGUCGGCUCAUCACAUCCUGGGGCUGAAGUAGGUCCCAAGGGUAUGGCUGUUCGCCAUUUAAAGUGGUACGCGAGCUGGGUUUAGAACGUCGUGAGACAGUUCGGUCCCUAUCUGCCGUGGGCGCUGGAGAACUGAGGGGGGCUGCUCCUAGUACGAGAGGACCGGAGUGGACGCAUCACUGGUGUUCGGGUUGUCAUGCCAAUGGCACUGCCCGGUAGCUAAAUGCGGAAGAGAUAAGUGCUGAAAGCAUCUAAGCACGAAACUUGCCCCGAGAUGAGUUCUCCCUGAGACUUAGAGUCUCCUGAAGGAACGUUGAAGACGACGACGUUGAUAGGCCGGGUGUGUAAGCGCAGCGAUGCGUUGAGCUAACCGGUACUAAUGAACCGUGAGGCUUAACCUU
rnacentral:rRNA from 1 species